rnacentral:rRNA from 1 species
GACGAACGCUGGCGGCGUGCUUAACACAUGCAAGUCGAACGAAGUGGCGAACGGGUGAGUAACGCGUAAUCAACCUGCCCUUCAGAGGGGGACAACAGUUGGAAACGACUGCUAAUACCGCAUACUGAAUGAGGGGAUUGCGUCUGAUUAGCUAGUUGGGGGGGUAACGGCCCACCAAGGCGAUGAUCAGUAGCCGGGCUGAGAGGAUGAACGGCCACAUUGGGACCUGGACACGGCCCAGACGCCUACGGGAGGCAGCAGUGGGGAAUCUUCCGCAAUGGACGAAAGGCUGACGGAGCAACGCCGCGGGAGUUAUGACGGGCCUCGGGUUGUAAAGCUAUGUUAAUCGGGACGCGGUACCGGAAGAGAAAGCCACGGCUAACUACGUGCCAGCAGCCGCGGUAAUAC